rnacentral:rRNA from 1 species
GCCAUGCAUGUCUUAGUGCAGCCGUACGCGCUCGCGCGUAUAGGUGAAACCGCGAAAGGCUCAUUAAAUCAGUUAUGGUUCCUUAGAUCGUACCAUCAAGUUACUUGGAUAACUGUGGUAAUUCUAGAGCUAAUACAUGCCGACAGAGUUCCGACCGCUUAGGCGGGAGGAACGCUUUUAUUAGAUCAAAACCCAUCGGCGCGGAUCGCUUGCGAUCCCGCCGGCAACACUCGGUUCGUUUCGUACGGAUCGAUCAAGUGGUGACUCUGAAUAACUUUGUGCUGAUCGCACGGUCUCAGUGCUGGCGAUGCAUCUUUCAAAUGUCUGCCUUAUCAACUGUCGAUGGUAGGUUAUGCGCCUACCAUGGUGGUAACGGGUAACGGGGGAUUAGGGUUCGAUCCCGGAGAGGGAGCCUGAGAAACGGCUACCACAUCCAAGGAAGGCAGCAGGCACGCAAAUUACCCACUCCCAGCUCAGGGGAGGUAGUGACGAAACAUAACGAUACGGGACUCAUCCGAGGCCUCGUAAUCGGAAUGAGUACACUUUAAAACGUUUAACAAGGAUCCAUUGGAGGGCA